UGGACGAACGUGUCACGUGGGUCUGGCUUCACUGGAAAUUCAGAUGGUCAUGGCAGCUCGUUCAGAAUGCAAUCUAAUAUUUUACUAAAAUAGUUCACUGAAACGUCUUUCUGGAAACACUUUAAGGAGAAAGAAGCAGUGCCGCUGCUGAAUCUGUCUCACUUUCAGAUCCACAAAGGUCAGUUUAUAAUAAUUUCCUCAG